GGCGACCGGCCACAUUGGGACUGAGAUACGGCCCAGACUCCUACGGGAGGCAGCAGUGGGGAAUAUUGCACAAUGGGCGCAAGCCUGAUGCAGCGACGCCGCGUGAGGGAUGGAGGCCUUCGGGUUGUAAACCUCUUUUGUUAGGGAGCAAGGCAUUUUGUGUUGAGUGUACCUUUCGAAUAAGCACCGGCUAACUACGUGCCAGCAGCCGCGGUAAUACGUAGGGUGCAAGCGUUAUCCGGAAUUAUUGGGCGUAAAGGGCUCGUAGGCGGUUCGUCGCGUCCGGUGUGAAAGUCCAUCGCUUAACGGUGGAUCCGCGCCGGGUACGGGCGGGCUUGAGUGCGGUAGGGGAGACUGGAAUUCCCGGUGUAACGGUGG
rnacentral:rRNA from 1 species